rnacentral:rRNA from 1 species
CCAACCUCGCCCCAUGCUCCAGAAUAGCUCUUAGGAAACGGGUGGUAAUGCUGGAUGCUCCAACUUGACGCAUGUCUUGUUGGGAAAGUGUUUAGUGGCAUGGGAUGGGGUCGCGUCCUAUCAGCUUGUAGGCGGGGUAAUGGCCCACCUAGGCUUCGACGGGUAGCCGGCCUGAGAGGGCGGACGGCCACAUUGGGACUGAGAUACGGCCCAGACUCCUACGGGAGGCAGCAGGG